CAUUCAACCACCCAUCCAUCCAUCCACCAACCCAACCAUACACCCACCCACCCAUCUACCCAAAUCCCCACCCAUCCAUUCACCCACUCACCCAUCCAUCUACCCACCCACCCAUCCAACCAUCUAAUCAUGCCACCCACCCCAUCCAACCAUCUACCCAGUCCAUUCACCCAUCUACCCAUCCAUCCACCCACUCACCCAUUCAUCCAUUCACCCAGUGGCUACUUUGUGAGUCCACUGUGUGCCAGACACUGUUCUAGGCACUGAGGAAACAACAGUGAAAAAGACAUGGUUGUCAUGGAAAGCAGGUCCUGGGCCUUCCUGCUCCCUCCUCUCCCAGCUGAGAAGUAAGAACUGUCAGCACUAGAAGCUGUCAAGGGCCAGAUAGUAAAUAUUUUAGUCUUGAGGGCCCAAAGGUCUCUACAGUAGCCACUCAUCUCUGCCCACAUAGCUUGAAAGCAGCCACAGACAACAUGUGUGUGGCUGUGUUUUUUAAUUUAUUAUUAUUAAAUAUUUUAUUUUUAAGCCAUAUCUACACUCAAUGUGGGGCUCAAACUCACAACUCUAAGAUCAAUAGUCUCAUGCUCCACCAACUGAGCCAGCCAGGCACCCCAUGGCUGUGUUCCAAAAUAAAAUUUUAUUUACAAAAACAGGCCAGCUGGGAGUAACCCCUGAAGAAACACAGAACUGGGAAGGACCUCAGAGCCCAGUGGUUUUCAACCAUGGCUGCAUAGUCAAAUCAGUCAGGAAGCUUUAUUUUAUUUAUUUACUUAUUUAACAGGUGACCUGAUUUUUUUUUAAGUUUAUUUACUUUGAGAGAGAGAGAGACAGAGACAGAGAAUCCCAAGCAGGCUCCAUCCUGUCAGUGCAGAGCCUGAUGCAGGGUUUGAUCUCACAAACUGUGAGAUCAUGACCUGAGCCAAAGUCAGAUGCUUAACUACCUGAGCCACCCAGGUGCCCCUAGGAUCUGAUUUUUUGACUCUAGCCAGCCAGCCUCUAUCUGUGACCUGAGCUGCCUCUUGGGGUUGGAAGGAGGGCACCUGCUGUCCAUUAGUCUUUUCUGUACCAGCUCUCUCCUUCUGACAGGUGGGUUUCCCCAGGUAAGAUAUAGAUGGCCUGAUCUAUGAUUUAAGUUGAAGAUGUGAUGUUGAGGGCACCCUGAGGGCCCUCUGGAGGAGUGGAUUUUGAGCUCAUCCGUUUGGGGAGGCAGCAGAGGGCAGUUGUAAAUGCAGGCUUGAGGGAAACAGAACUCCAUUGGUAGCUGCGUGACUUUGAGCAAGUUAUUUAACCCCUCUGAGACUGAGCGUCUCCAUUUAUAGAAUAGGGACCAUAAUACCUGCCUUGCGAGAGAGAGUGUUGUAAGAAUUAGAGGAGAUUAUGCGCACAAAUGUUUAUCGUCAUUCCUGGCACCCACCUCGUGCUAAUAAACAGAAGCUAUUACAGUAUUUUUAUUUCAUCUCGGUAUUAGACCCACUUCUGUGCCUUCCACAGCCUUCUGUGUUGUAUGCUUAACAAAGUGAGAGGCAGAAACCCAGCUGGAAGACAGAGGGCAUUCCAGGCUUGGGGAAUGGUCGAGGGAAGGCCCUGAGGUGGGAAUGAUUGAGCUGUGAUGAGAUCCAGCUCCGAGGCGACACUCAAAUGUCACCGGCCCUGUCUAUCUCUGCCUCUCAGAACCGUUCCAUGCCUCUCCCCACUCCUGAGCUCUGGUUCUCUGCAGGUAGAGUUCUUACUGCUAUCUGUUGGUUUAGGGAAAUGCUCUCGGUGUGAGAGCAGGCAUGCUGUUUAUGCUGGAGGCUAGGACCCUGUGUGGCAUACAAUAGGCAUAGCCAGCCAGGCUGUAAGGAGAGUGACUUCCUGAUAACCAUGAAGAGCGACAGGGCAGGCAGGGAGGCCUGUGGCCGGGAGGCUAAGGAGCUUCCAUUUGGUGCAAUAGGAAAUGGGAAGCCACAGUUGGCUGAGCUGAGACUUGUAAACAGGAGCCUUCCAGGGGUUCCUGGGGGACCCUGUGCUGCCCUGCCCCAAAGGCCAUCUGCUCUGGGAGGACAGGUGCACCAGCCCCAAGCAGGGAGGGGAGUACCUCCCUGCCCAUCACUGCCACAUCCUUCCAAGCGCAUGUUGGAUGCGGCUGCUCCUCCCAGAGCUUGCAACCCAUCGCCUUGGUCACUGCCAAGGCUGGGCCUAAGGCGUCUGAGCCCAAAGUAACCACUCUGCCUGAUGGUCCUGGGCACCAUGGCCCAGGGAGGAGGUGAGAAGGAGGAGACAGGUGAGAGAGGGGCAAGGACUUCUCUGUGUCCUCAAAAGGCUGGCCUCAGCGAUAGGAGAGUCAGUGGGCCUACAAAGGGACCGUGUGCAGCUGUUUUGGGGUUCAGCCAUCCGGGACACAAGGGAUAACUGCAUCCAGAAUUCUGAUGUCACCUUUUGUGUCUGGAAUAAUAUAGCAUCAUCUUGACAAAGUGCUUUACUGUGACUUCUCCCAGGCUUCUCCAGCCUCUCUGGUUGCUUUCUCAGGGCUCAGAGGUCUUUUCUCGGGUGGGCCACCUGUGGAAAAGGUGUUGGCUUUUCAGCUGGCACUGAUGUACCCUAACCUACCCAUGCCUGACCUUCUCCAUCAAGAUAAAGUGGCAGAAGGGCCCCCGUCCCCUGGCCCUUCUGUGGCUUCCCCUGGGAUCGGGGUGUCGUGGGGAGGUGGUCCAGGAAGCACGCCGUGUGAUCUGCCUCCAGGGGUGCCACUCAUCCUCUGCACCUCGAGGUUUGUCCUCCCCCAAGAAUCCCCUCCCAGGCUGGUGUCCGCUCCGUCCUCGGUACCCCUCGGGUGGAGAGGCUGCAGAAUAAUCCAUCUGGAUAGAGAGCGUGGGAUCGAUGCGCUGUUUUUAGUUCCGUGGGAGAAGUCACAACAAGGGGUUGUAACUUCUCUGCAAUUUCUCUCCUCCAUCAGGCAUCUGUUGGCAUGCUGUGAGGAGGUUCUCAUCUGAGCACAGGGCUUGUAUCUGGAUCCAGCCUCAUGGAUGUGUCCUGGCCUCAUGGCCCCUUCUGCCUCUGCUCUGAAUGAGGGGAGCUGUUUAGGCGUUUGUCAUCCUUUUCUCCCCACCGCCGCCCCUGCUCUGGCUGACUCACACAUGGCCUCUAGCCCUCACUGCCUUGAAUGGCACCUGCCCAUGCCUCGGUUAUCUCUUCUUUCUUUAAAAAAUUUUCUUUUAAAAUAUUUAUGUAUGUUUGAGAGAGAGAGAAAGAGACAGAGCAUGAGCGGGAGACGGACAGAGAGAGAGGGAGACACAGAAUCGAAAGCAGGCUCCAGGCUCUGAGCUGUCAGCACAGAGCCUGACACGGGGCUUGAACUCCCAAGCUGUGAGAUCAUGACCUGAGCUGAAGUCAGACGCUGAACCGACUGAGCCACCCAGGCGCCCCAGGUUACCUUGUAUUUCAUGCUCCAUCUGAGCCAGUGCUUUCCUUGAUGCUUCCCCUGACCUCCAGCACAUCUGGUCAGCUUAGUCACCAGUCUGACCAUGUGCCAGGCCCUGUGCUAUGUCCUAGAGAUCUAGAAAUGAACAGGGACUCCCUCUGCCCUGGGGAAGCCGGCUGCCCGGGUAGGAGGAGAGGCUCAGAGACUAACACGGGAUGCUUGUGCCAAGGCAGAAUGUGCCGGCGGCCUUGGAGUUCACAGAGGGAACCUCUCAUCUUCUGUAGGAGAGCGAUUAGCAGCUCUGGAACUCAGACGGCCAGGGUUUUGCUCCAGACCAGUCAAAUAUAGAGGGUCUGAUAUUUGGGGGGGAAAUGAUUUUAGAUUUUGUAAGUAAAAAAUGUUGCUACAUUUACCUGAUGAUAGGACAUUCCUUCUACACGGCAGGAUGCCUGAUAAGAAGAGCAAUGAUUUAAAAUAGGAAGCUCCCAGAUACAUAUUUAAUGAUAUCUUCCUCCCCACUUCCUCCCUCGCCGUAUCGGGAACAACCAAGUCGAUCUUUGUCCUUGGCGUGGGCGUUAGGAUUGCCAGUGACAGUUCAGGUAAGAGUGAACCCGGGAACAGGUGCUGCUUGAGCUGAGUCUUGAUGGGUGAACGGGACUUUGCCAGCUGGAGGGGUUGGGGAGGUGGAGGGAGUUCUGGGUGAGGGAUGGAGGUGUGAAGGUACCCACCAUUUCCAGAAGAAUAAACAUGGUUUGGUUGGGCAAAGGCUUAAGGGAGAAAGGGCAAGAGAUGGUCCUCAAAUGGUAGGUGGGGCCGGAUCCAGGGGGCUUUAACACCGCCCGAAGGGGGUCAUGGUUUCCCACCUUCAGGCCUUUGCUCAUCAUAGACUAUGAGCCCCUCAGAAGCAAGGCUAGGACUGGGGUGAGCAAGUGGUGUGCCAAGGGAGCAACGUGUAAGGAGGCACUCACUCUCAGAGUUGUGCCAGAGCAGGGCUGGCCCCCUGAGGGUGAGCACGUCCUUUGUGCACUCUCGGUGCUUUCCUUGCCUCCCCCUAGACCCAGUGCUGCUCAGGAGAGAGGUCACAUUGUGUAAAUCUUUGUACCCCUACGACCUAGGACAGUGCCUGACCAUAGUAGCAGACUAAUAAACGCUCAACUGAAUGAAUGAAUGAAUGAAUGAAUGAGUGGUGCUUUUUGGUUUUGUUUUUGUUUUUUUCUGUCUGGAAUGUGUUUGCCCUCCUCAUGUCCAGUCAAGGUGUGUCAUUUCUUUUAUGGCUUACUUCAUCCCUGCAGCCCCUCCAGAUACACCUCCCCUGAGUCCUCAGCUCUUACAUUGUGUCAACGUCCCAUCACCCAACCAGAUUGUGUGGCUGUGCUUGGAAGAAGAGGUAACCACAGUUUACACUGGAGGCUGACCAAAUCUCAGAAUCUUCCCUGGGCGGGCUCAGUAGUUCUAGAAUAUCCUGGUCCCUUGGACGGAAAGGACCAGCCACCACUGCCACUAUUGCUGCUGUCGCUGCUGUGUAGGGUCUCCUUCCCCUCUCCCUCCCUCCUCUUUAUGGGGCCAGACUCAGAAAAGCUUCUGGAGGUGGUGUCUCCAAACUGCUCCUCCACAGUACUACCCACUUACCCAGCCUGCUUCCUCUGCUCAGCCCCUUUGGACCACGGCCAGCUGAUCACUGCUCACGCAGUUACGAAGGCCCCAGAGGUCUUUUGAGACACCCACCCCUCCCUGCCCUUCUGACUAAUGGGACUCCUCACCAGGUGGCUCUUGGCUGAGAAAUGAGGUUAAACCUGGACACCGCUGGGAUAUGGAAGCUGGGGGAUGAUUAAUGAUACUACUCAGGAAGGGUUGAGACGUUUGCAUUUCUGUCCAGCAGAGGAUCUAUUUCAAUCAGGAAGUUACUCUUGCUGCCCAAAGAAGCAGAAUAGUCCCCUCCCACGCUCACUUACUGCUGAAGGGAGGAUGGUCACGCAGCAUCGUGUGGGCAGUGCAAUCACAGAGCGCCCAGGCAGGAGAGCUGAGCUGCACCGACGCGCCCAGAAGGGGGCCACUGCCCCUCAUCCAUGAGAGCUGGUAUCCUGAGAACAAUAGCCCUGAGUGCACCGACCUCUGAGGAACGCUGUUGCGAAAGAAUCAGUGUUCAGUCCAAGUUCAAGAACAUUUCCAGACGUUAUGGAUACCUGGGCCAGGUGGCCCUUACCUGACGUAGAAAGCCAAGAUUCUGGAGCCCAGAAGGGCAGGCCAGGAGUGGGAAGAGCAGGCCCAGGAUGGAUUUUCUGUCAUCACUGCUCAGGGUCUAGGAGCUGGAGCAGUGUGGCAUCCCUACCCGGCCCGGCAGCUGAAGAUGGGGGAAACUGAGGCCCAGAGAGGUUCUAGAACUGCCAGAAAGUGCUGGAUCCAGGAUACAGAACAUUAGCUAAAGCUGAGCUAUGCAGAAGCUUAAAUGGAAUCGUGAGUUCUGCCAUGUACCCUGCUUCAGAAGUUCCGGGGAGCAGAGGACACUCGAGGUCGCAUCCUCAGUGUGGCCUGGAUCCUUCUCCCCUUUUGUUCUCCUGGAGAACGUCUUGCAGUAUAGCUGAUCCUGGAUGUCGGAGAGGUCACAUGUGACUCUGAGCAGUAUGUCUGGCGUGGAGGCGUAAGAGAGGCCUGAUGCCCACGGAGGAUUUCACGUGUUAACAGGAUGGCCCUGUAUACAGAAGCAACCAAGGGCCCCAGCACGGGGACACCAGCACCGGAUAGCACCUCAUAAGGACAAGACACUGAAUUUCUCCUUUGCCCUCUCGUGGAAGUCAUCUGCGAUCCCUCCAGGGGUGAGUAUUAUGCGUGCCCUGAGAUGGUCCCUGAGGGCGGCCAUAUGGACCCGCGUGCUGCCAGGCUGGCUGUGUGCCCCAGAUCCUGAGCUGUCGGUGGAGAUAGGGGUCGAGCCCAGAGACCCCAGCCAGAAUUACUUUGGCACGUGUUUUCAUUUCUACCUGAACUUUGAGAAGCACAGACAUUCCCCAAAAUCCAUUUUCCUCGUUUGCUGGGGCAGACGCCGCUCGUUUAUGGCCCUGGGAAGGAAGACAUCACACCUCAAGUGAAAGCAGGGGAGGGGCAGAGAGAGAAACACACACAGAAUCCGAAGCAGGCUCCAGGCUCUGAGCUGUCAGCACAGAGCCCGAUGUAGGGCUUGAACUCACGAGCCGUGAAAUCAUGACCUGAGCCGAAGUCAGCCACCCAACCAACUGAGCCUCCCAGGCGCCCCAGAAGCUGACCUUUAAAAAGCCACAUAAGAGGGAAGGUUGAGCACCGGAUUAGGAGACAGGAACCUUCCAAAGUUUCCUGGACGAGGACCUUUUCGACUAGACUGCCAUGAACUGUGUAUUCUUAAGCAGGCCAUCUACUUCCUCUGUGCCUCAGUUUCCACAUCUGUUGAGCUGAAGACGGUGUCUUCAUGUGAGGUAAGGAGAAGAAAGACUGGCUGCCUGUGCAAUUUGCAAACCGCAAAGUGUUUGCUUAUUUGAACUUCGAGGUGGAUGGGAACAGCUAAGGAACCCCCCUGGGGCAUCUGUGAGGGGAGGGCUGAGGGGCAACCCGGAAAUGACUUUGCUGAGAGGAGAGGAGGAGAGAACAGGGAGAGGAUACCCAAAAUGGACCACAGGGAGGUGGGGGGGAGGAGACAGGCUGCAAGCGUUCCAGCAGGAGACCACCUGUGGCCUGUGGACAUGACCUUUGGUGUCUCACGGCAGAUUCAGUCCGGCUGCUUCUGUACCAGCAGCAAGAGUCCAGACUGGGUCCCCGUGGUUGUCACAAAUAUUCCGGUGUUCUCUCCGUCUAGGUACCUGGCGGGACUAGAUCCUCUGUGCCGUUGAGGGUGUGCAUGACCGUGUGACUCUACUUGGCCACUGGCACAUGAGUGGAAGUGACGGUAUCAUUUGAAGAUAUCAAGGGGCAAACCUGAAGAGCUCAUGCGUGACUGGCGGUCAAGGCAGAGCCGGUCGCGCCCCGCCCACAGCUCUUGGAGCAUCCUGAUGACUUAGUCCCCCCAGUGUCUGCGUCUCUGUGCCCAAGGGCUUUGUCCAGACCACAAAACACGGCUCUGCCCGCACGCACCCCAGGCUGGGAGUGCCAGGGAAAUACACACCUCACCCCCGUCAGCCCGGGCCAGCGACUGGGGUGUUGAGAUAUAAACACCCCAGCUCUCUCACCCCUGAGGCGGGCUCACCCUGGAGCAUGGGUUCCUCACCGUUUCCCCGGGAUUUCCCAGGGGACGAACCGCAUUUACCCACAGUGGCGGCUGGCUUAAUUCACAUCCCUUAUUAGCUGCUUUCCUUUCCCUGAGGCAUUCUCCCGCUCCAUACCAGUGUCCCCUGCCCCCCUCCCCCCAAUUAGCUGUUGGCACUUGCACCACUGACUCUGGGUCUGUUUCUGGACAGCCACGUUCCUCUUUCCUGCCGUCACCAAAACCCACUGGCCAAAGAGUAGGCAGUUCCCCAGGCAGUGACUGUUCUGUCAUCCCCAGGCCUUGGGGUAGAGCGACUAGAAGAAGCUGGGCCUCCAGUGGGCUCACCGCGGACAGUGAGCAGGAGGAAGAAGCCCCCUGAGGCUUGGGAGGCCUUUGGUGCCACGGCACCAGCUCACCUACUCUGACUGAUACGGCCCCUGCCUCCCCCCAUACGCUGCAAAGGCACAUCGAAUUCAAGGCAUCUUACAAGGGACAGAGAAGGACGGAAAGACAAAGAAAGAAAGCAUGCAAGCACGUAUGUGCACAAUGGAGAGAGAGUGUGGGAAUGUGUGAGUGUGUGUGUGUGUGUGUGUGUGUGUGUGUGCGCCUAUGUUAGAGCAGAAUGGAAGGAAAGGGGAGGGACCAGUUUGAAGGGGCGACUAAAAAAAGAUGCCCAAGGGGCACCUGGCUGGCUCAGCUGGUUAAGCAUCCGACUCUUGGUUUUGGCUUCUGUCACCAUCUCACGGUCUGUGAGAUCAAGCCCUGCAUCGGGCCCCCCACGGAGAGCGCGGGGGGCCGCCUGGGAUUCUCUCCCCCGCUCUCUCUGCCCCUCCCCACUCUCAAAAGAAAUAAACUUCAAAAAGAAAGCAAGACAAAGAUGUCCAAGAACUCUGGCAUCGGAGAGACGGAGGUAGAAAGGAUAAAAGAUCAAAAGGCCGAGAGACGCAGUGACAAGGGUCCAGGGUCACACACGGAAGCUGAAUGCUGAGCCAAGCCUCAAAGGUGGGCUUCCUCAUUCCAACCCAGCGCUCCUUCCCCUGAGCGGGUCGCCCCAUCCAGAAGGCCUGGCUGGCCUGCCUUCUCUCCGCCCCCCUGGCGUUGCGGGGUAGGGGGGAAGCCCACGGCCGGUGGCCCGUGGCUCCAAGCCCCUCACGUAUGGAUGACAGCGGCACACAGGCCGGUCUGUGACCAUGUGUGGGCCUAAGCAGCAGGUUCCUCUGUUUGCAAGCACACAAGUGGACUCUUGCCAGCUCAAGCCAUAAAUGGGGGUGAACUGGGGAGUUCUGGGGCUCCCAGCUAACAGCAUGGGCCUUGGGAGAACAGCGUCGAGAGAGGCUUCAGACUGGUCCCGUGCCCUGGACCCUCCCGCCAGCGAUGGCCCUGUCUGCCCCUCACCUGCCAUUCUCACAGGUAAGGAGUGCCGAUUCCCGGCAGAAAGAAUCGGACUGGCUACUUCCAGUCAGGCGUUCUUCUUGGAACCAAUGAGCUGAAUCCAAGAGUGAGGGGUAACCCGGGAGCACGCUGGGGCCCAUGCCCGAGCAUGGCCAGUUUCCGGAGCCUGGGCGGUGGUGAGCCGGCAGACCCAAGGGAGGUGUUUGCGAAGGGAGCCCUCUCCUGCCCUUGACAUACACCUCCUCUCAGCAGGUCCCGCUCUUCGUUUUCUGUCAUUCAUUCGACCCUCCCUGAAGCUCUCACUGAUGUACUACAGGCACCUGGUGCCGUGGAGACGCUCCUCACCCCUCACACACGACCACGGUAACGCCAGGCCGAGGGGCCUGCAGCCUUGGGACGGCCUGCCUGUGGUUCGGCCACAGACGUGCGCCAGUUCCGUGUCUUGAUCUCGCCACCCAGCCUGGGGACGCUUAGGAUUGACCUGACUGAGCCAGCCAGCAUAGUCACAUAUGGACAGAAAGUGCUAGAAGGUGUUUUAAUCUGCUCCCCAAGUUCCCAUGCGGAACAGGGUCUGUGAAGGAUUCCAGAGCUGGAUUUCCCUGACUCAUCAUCCUUGAGAUUCUGUCAGUGGAGUUUUUUCUAGAGAGGGAGGCCUGCCCUUUGGCUUAGUUGCAGAACUGCCCCCAGCACUCCCUCAGCUCAACCUCCCCCUCCUCUCCCCCUCCACUCCCUCGGGACUCCCUCCGGGUGUCUCUAGGUCACAAUAUCCUCCUGCUCUUUGGGGGGAGCCUGACCAGAGGCCCUUUUGUUGUUUCUACUCCUGUUCUCACAAAAGUCCCUGUGGAGGGGGAAAAAUGUCACCUAGAUAAAGACACAGAGCAUAAAGAAGAAAAAACCCAAAGAGUGACAUUUGGGAAAGUUUAGACAAGAAUAGCCUGGACAGGGCUGAGCUUGGGAAGAGGGGGAAGGUCAGAGCCUGGGGGAUUAGGGACGUCAGACAGCUGACAUGGUGACAGAUGUCUGGCCCUGGGUUUCUCUUUCAUAAUGACCAGAGUUUGCUCACUGAGCUCUGCCAGAGCACUCGCUAUGUGCUAAGCACCUUCCGCUGAUUGUCUCACUUAAUUCACAAGACACCCCUGGGAGAUCCUUACCGUUAUUAACUCAGAUGGAAGAUGGGGAAACUGAGGUUCAGGGAGGUAAAGUAACUUUCCCAGGGUCUCAUGUCCAUCUGGCUACAGCACAACGGGCUACCAGGGCCCCCCGUGGUUUUGAAGCUCAGAGCAACUGGGAUGUCUGAGUACCAUAAAGUUUUAUCCGAGCAGAUGAGCCUUGCUGAGAGAAAUCCUUGUGCUCCCAGAGAACAGGGUGGAAAAUGGGAAAGAAACUAGCUUAGGAGUCGGAAAUCCUGGAGCCCCAACACAGGCUUUGCCUCUCGCUAUUGAAUUACCUUGAACAACUUACUGUAGGGAGCCCAAGAAGAAAAGUAGCAUGAUUGGCCAGGCUUGGAUCAUGCCAUCACACCCAGGCCAAUCAUUUUUAGCAAGUUGGCUGUUCGAGUUCAGUCCCACUACUUAGAGCGGGAAUGGGCAGUGCUUUGUCCGGGAAAACGGGGUGUGGGUGGGGGGUAGGAAAUAAAAGAUUCUAGGCAAAAUGAAUAUAUUUUAUUAUUCAAACCCCAGUUCUCUCCGCUCCUAAUCAUUCCCAUCCAAUAUUGAAAUGCCACUCUGAAGUUUACAUUCUGGGGGCGCCUAGGUGGCUCAGUCGGUUGGGCAUCCAACUUCCGCUCAGGUCAUGAUCUCAUGCUUCUUGAGUUCUGAUCUCAUGCUUCUUGAGUUCGAGUCCCACAUCAGGCUCUGUGCUGACAGCUCAGAGCCUCAAGGCUGCUUCAGAUUCUGUGUUGGCCUCUCUCUCUGCCCCUUCCCCCAUUGACACACACUCUCUCUCUCUCAAAAAUAAAUAAACAUUAAAAAAAUUUUUUUUAAAUUAAAAACAUUUACAUUCUGCCACCUCCUGUCUCCUACCCUGAUGCUUGCUGGGCACAACUGGCCUCAUGGAUCAUCUCAGCUCACAGGCCUGAUGGGCUUUCCAGAGUUCCAAGAAGCUCUCCGUUCCUCCAGUUAUGUUAACUAUCUUUCCUCCCCUGCCUGCUGUGUCAGGAAUUUCGCUAUUGGAGGCUCGCUUUUUAGCCUAACCAACUUGUCCCCCUUCAGAUGCACAUCCUCUUGUGAGCAGGUACCCCCUGUCUGAACAAGUAUCUAGGACUGCUCCUAGUGGCUUUCCGUGCCUUUUCCCAUUUUGGUAAAGGAGGGAGAGGGCUUGAGAAGACUUGCCUGAGGCCAUAUUGGAGAAAGGAAGAGAACGGAUGCAAAAUGGGGACGCUGACCAUCCUCCUGAUCCAACUGGUCUAUUUUAGGUGACCCUUCUUAUUUCAUCUUGAAGAUGCAGCAGUUUUCUCUUCUUUCCCAAGUCUAAGGUGAUUUAAAACUUGAAAAUUUUGAGUUACUUGUAGAUUCACUACAGUUGGGAGAAACAGUACAGAGACUUCUCGAGUGCCCUUUACCCAGUUCCCCAAUGGUAACGUUGCAAAACCAUACUAGAGCCUCACAACCUGGGGGGCGCCCGGGAGGCUCAGUCGGUUGAGCGUCCAACUUCCGCUCCGAUCAUGAUCUCAGGGUUUGUGAGCGCGAGCCCCACAUCUGACUCCCUGCUGUCAGUGUGGAGCCCGCUUUGGAUCCUCUGUUUCCCUCUCUCUCUGCCCCUCCCCUGCUCAUGCUCUCUCUCUCUCAGAAAUAAAUAAACUUAAAAAAAUCUGUAAAUAAAUAAAAUCUUAAAAAAAGGUAUAUCACAAUCUGGAUACUGAUGUUGACACAAUCAAGAUACAGAACAUUUCCAUCCCACAAGGACCUUCCUGCUGCCAUUUUUUAUAAUCACAGCUACUUUCCGAUCAACCUACCUUCUCUUUUAACUGAUGGUAACUAUUAAUCUGUUUUCCACUUCUAUACUUUGGCCACUUCAAGAAUGUUACAUAAAUGGAAUCCCACAGUAUGUAAACUUUGGAGCCUGGCUUUUUACAGUCAACCCAAGUCUAUGGAUUAAUCCAGGUCGGUGUGUGGAUCCACAGUUCAUUUCUUUUUUGCGGAGUAGUUUUUAUUUCUUUUUCUUUUUCUUUUUGAUGUUUAUUUAUUUUUGAGAGAGAGAGAGACAGAGCACGAGUGGGGGAGGGGCAGAGAGAGAGGGAGACACAGAAUCUGAAGCAGGCUCCAGGCUUUGAUCUCUCAGCACAGAGCCCGAGCGGGGCUCAAAGUCACAAACUAUGAGAUCAUGACCUGAGCCGAAAUCAGACACUUAACCAACUGAGCCACCCAGGUGCCCAAUUGCUGAGUAUUUUUUCAUGUAGGAUAUGCCCCAAUUUAUUUAACCAUUCCCUGUUAAAGGACACUGGGUGGUUUCCAAUUUGGGGCUAUAUCAAAUAAAGUUGCUAUAAACAUCUA